UACGGAGGGUGCAAGCGUUAUCCGGAUUUACUGGGUUUUAAAGGGUGCGUAGGUGGGUCUGUAAGUCAGUGGUGAAAUCUCCGAGCUUAACUCGGAAACUGCCAUUGAUACUAUAGAUCUUGAAUUAUCUGGAGGUGAGCGGAAUAUGUCAUGUAGCGGUGAAAUGCUUAGAUAUGACAUAGAACACCAAAUUGCGAAGGCAGCUCACUACGGAUUGAUUGACACUGAGGCACGAA
rnacentral:rRNA from 1 species